AUGAGCUGCUCCCCGGUGCCAGAACCUGACCACCACCGCCUGCUGGCCACCCUCGCGCGCCACGGCCGCCUCGCCGCCGCCGCCACGCUCUUCUCCACGGCCGUCCGCACCACACGCGCGCUCAACACCAUACUCGCCGCCCUCUGCUCCUCCCCGUCGCUGCUCCGCGUUGCCCCCUCCGUGCUCCUCCUCGCCGCCCCCACCGCCUCCCCCGACGCGGCCACCUUCCGCGUCCUCACCUCCGCGCUCUGCCGCGCAAGCCGCCCCUCCGCCGCCGCCGGCCUCCUGCGCUGCAUGCCCUCCCUCCAUCUCGACCCGGACUCGCCGCUGUGCCGCGCCGUGCUCUCCUCCCUGUGCCGCUGCGCCCCGGCCCGGGACGCGGCGGCGUUCCUGGACGACAUGCGCCGGUGGGGCGUCCCGCCCAGCGGGCUCGACCACCGCGCCGUCCUCCGCGCCCUCCUGCGGGAGGGGAUGGUGGCGGAGGCAUACGAGGUCGUCAGAGAGAAGAUGGGCUCCGAUGGCGUGGCCCCCGGGGUGGCCGACUUCGAGCUGAUGCUGCGCGCGUUCAGCGAGCGCGGGCAGUUCGACGCCGUCGACGAGGCGUUCGACGAAAUGCUCCUCCGAGGGCUCGUGCCGGGCGUGGCCGUCUACAACGUGUACGUCGCCGCGCUGUGCAAGAAAGGGGACCUGGCCGGCGCGCGCCGGAUGGUGGAGUGCAUGGAGCGCGCCGGCUGCCCGCCGGACGUCAGGACGUUCGGCGUCGUGGUCGCUGGGUGCGUGUCCGCCGGGGACGCCGGCGCUGCCAGGGACGUGGCAUGGGAGGCGGUGCGGCGAGGCCUGCGGUGGGACACGCCGUCGAUGGUGGAGCUGGUCGGCCUGCUCCGGGCGGGCGGGCACGUCGCGGACGCGCACGGGCUGCUGCUGGACGUGUUCCUGCACGGCGGGUGCACGGGAGUGGACGCCUCGACGCUCGGGCAGCUGAUAUGUGCCAGCGAAGGCGCCUGCAGCGUGAUCACAGAUCACCCGAAAGACUAG
rnacentral:rRNA from 1 species